UGCUCCUAACAGAGGGGAUUUUUCAAAGUGCUGAUACACACAGUGGCUGUCUAACUCAUUACAGCAAACAUGAGUCUUCACGUUCACACCGCAGUCUUGCUCGUUCUGAUGAGCUUUGUUUCAACUAGCCACUGGCACAUUGGAAUCAAUUCAUCAAAAGCUUAAGCAGCUAAUGAACUGAAACAUGGUGGAAAUGAGAGAAUUCAAGGCAAAAAGAAUGGAUUCGAAUAUUAUAGGGCAGAGGUCCUGUAUACCGUUUCUGAUUUUGAGGAAAAUAAUGGUGGAGAAUUCCCUCUCGGUAUGGCUGCUGCUUCCUCAUUCCAAGUUUAUUUUCAGGAGGCAAGUUAUUUCUUUGUUAUCAGUUUCCGGAGAGAAUAAAAUAUGUGCAUAUUUACCACUGUGAGACCUCUGCAGUCAAGCUAGCCGCCUCAGUACUGGUGCACAAGAACAUACAACCCACAUUACUUUGUGUUUACACCAGUGGUCAAAGAUUUGAACAAAACAAACAUAUACAUACAGUACAGCUGCAUUUACAUACACCCACAUCUUUAAAUAUAUAUUCUCACAUAUGUUUUAAUGCAAAACGUUUCCAUGCAAAGCUAGAAACCCAUUUCAUGUCAAGUCAGGUCAAGUCAUCUUCAUUUAUAUAGCUCUUUUUACCAUACAGAUUGAUUCAAAGCACCUUCACAGUGAUAAUAGGAAAAUUAAUGGACAGAGAUUGUUUUGGCUUUACAGCAGCUCUAGAAAAAAAGUUAUUAUCGAGCUAAAGUAGUUUUUUUGAUUGAAUCACUUCCGUCAUAAGUUAAAGAGAAUGAAUGACAUUUUAUUGGCUCAGCCACACACCUCCACACUUACUAUCUACAUCCUCCUUAUAACCUCCUCCACUGCAUACAUACAAUGCCAGUGUAUUAUUCAUGUUUUGCACGCAGAAAUGGAGCCUCACCAGAGGGGGUUAAGUAAAUAGAUGAGCCUGACGUGUGACCUCCCUUGACUUAUGCACACUUCUCCCGCAAUAUGGAACCGCCUUGGCAGGAUACAGAUUUACAUUGAGCUCCAGCGUAUCCAGGCCGCUACGCUACGCUGCACGCACAAAGAGAAAAACAUGAAAAGCUCAGCAGAGCCGGGUAAUGAAAGAUUAUAUGAAAGAUUAGAGGACUAGCUUUACCAUCUCAGAUUUGCUCAACCUUUACAAGCUCUGAUGUCUCCAUAACUAUAUUGGAGAGGAUAAUGGUAUGAUAGGCAUCAUCUCCAUCAUCAACACCAAGCGAAGCAUGGCGGAGAACAAUAAUCAGUCCGGUCACGUUAAUAUCCUCCAUUCGGAAGCAAUUGUAAAUGUUUAUGGGGUUUAAAGAAUAAUUAUGAUGCCACUUCAUGUUAUUAAAACUUGAGAUGUCACAUCGUGGAAUCGGCUUCCCACAAACAUGGGUGUUUAAUAUGAUAAUAUGAUUUUAACAGCAGCGUCUUGCAGAUACCAAUGACACAAACAACAUUUUAUUUAAUUAGCACCUUUCUACAACAAAAUUAAAGUGUCUUAAAACAGUAUCCUUUUGCAAUUUCAUAUGCAUCAAACCUCAUUUGAAUAUUCAAGGAAUGGUACACGGUUACUUUAUUUACAUAUUUCUUUCGCACACAGAUUAUACAUUCCGAGUUAAAAAUGUUAUGGAAUACACUGCAAGUGCUUCCAAGUUCCCCCAUUAAGAAGAGGCACAUCUCAGAGCUGUACAUUACCUCAUGUGUCUCCACAGAAAGAGCCCAUCAACUGCGUUCCAGCAGGAAAAAACAGCUUUUAUCGGCCUCAGCCCCUCUGUGGAUUUGUGCCGUGAUGAACUUGAUGGAACAGCGAGGCUGAUGGCUGCUACUUUCCACAUCCAAACCCAAUAGAUACGGGGAGAGUGAUGCACUUCAAUGUGUAUUCAGCCCCAUUAUCAGGCCUGUAAUCACACUUAUUUUUUCCCUAAUGGAGUUUUGGUCGACUCUGUGAGAUUGUUCUUUCUUUCAGGUCGAUGGGAAUACAUCAUGCUCAUAUUCUGGGUGAUAUUGAUCUAGGACUAGUCAAUAAUGCCUUUUGGGAGAUAAACAACAAACCAUACCAACACAUGCAGGAAACUGAUAUGUUUGUUAAAAGGGGAGACUCUAUAAGGGAGGCUACAUCCAAACCCUUUGAUAAAUAAUUAAAUGCAAGCAUAAUCCAAACAGUAAUAUAUGGAUAAACUAUAAAAAAGGCAUCUUAAGUGUGUUAUUUUCAGAAGACAUCAAUAUUAAUCGGAAAGCUCUCCGAUAAAAAAUUGAGUUGAUGCAUUGUUGUUGCAUCAUAUAUUACAUCUUGUAUAGCAAACAGUAUCUUAUACUAUAUGAAGAAAUGAUCUCAGUACUCCUCAGAUCAAAAACUGUGUGAAAAUCAAAGCCUGGAGAGCUAUAUAACUACUUUAAAGAAGCCAUAAAUCAUAAAUCAUCAAUCAUCAAUGUUUAGACAGUUUUAUUUAUUUAUUUUUUGCUAGGAAGGAAGUUAAGGGGUACAGUUCGUCUGUGCUCAUCCAUCUGGAGGCUUUGGACCAUAUGACAGCACACAUGGACCAACUUCUCUCGUGAUGAGCUGAUGUCUUAAAUCGGCAAAACUGAAUUCAUACUCAAAUAACUCUAUACCAGCAAGUCAAAGGAAAGAUAAAAGAAGGGUAUUUCAAAAAUAUUUUUCAAGACAUGUAAUGCUAUAAAGUGAAUGGAGGGGAACAAAUGGUCUAUACUUGCUUCAUUCUGAUUGGUCAUCGUUGCAUUUUGAGUUAAAAUCAAGACUCUUUCGCUUGGCAGAACACCCUGUUGGGGUUUAUAUUGCAAUGAUGACUGGAUGACUGUGCAUUAUCUCUUAUUCAAUACUGCUGAAAUAUCAUUUUCAAGAAAGAGUUUCAUCUUUGCCAGAAAAUCUCUUGCCUGAACUUUCAAGAAAUCAUAUUUUCCCCACCUCAGGCAAAAUAAUAUCAGAGCUGUAAACGCUGUAUAAAUUCGGGACCACCAUAGUGGGAUGUGCUUAUCGAUUCUUACACUCCAAUAAUAAAUAUUUACAGUAGUUAGGGCUAUGUCGUUACUAACCAUAAAUAACUAUUUAACCCCGUCACAGUAAAUUUGGAAUUGAAAUGCUUAAAAUUAGAAUAGAUAAUUAAACUGAAAUGGACAAGUAUAAGUAAAUUCUGGAAGCAUUACUCUAUUUUGAUGUGCCUUGAAAAGAACCACAUUUUAAUUUAACAAAAAAUAAAAAUAUUUGUAAUCCAUGGCCUUUCUUUUACAAAACAUAUUUUGUGCCAACAAAUGUUUCAGGGGUGAAGGUACUAGUAAUGCUUUUAACUAGCAAAUAACACAGCACUACGCCACAUUAUUUACAGCCAAUAUUCUUGUUUUGAGCCAAAAACAAUAUUUUAUCUGUUAAAAAACUAGGCUCAUCUUGACUAGGCUCAUUUAAUUGUAAACCUGAAAUAAUAAAUACUGUUAGAGAAACACCUGUUUGUACCAAAUUUUAUGAUGUCAGUUCCUUAAAUUUAAACUUAAGUUUCAAAAUCCUUUUAAAUAUAUAAGCAAUAUCACACGAGUAGCCGAGCGAUAUCGCUCUGUGUUGGCCAUAUCUAUAAAAGCCAUAUCGCAUGGCUAUGGGUGUGAUAUUGCAUUUAUACAACAGUCUGGCGAGUGUGUAAAUAAAUAAAAAACAACAACGUCUUUAAAAACUCUCUUUUGUGAGGAACUACUUCCUUCCGCCACAGAUUCAAAUCUCAAAUUUACAGUUUAACAGUUGAGCCCAAGCCUCCGUUACUAAUUCUAAAAUGUCACUUUAGAGCUAGUAACAAAGGAACAUUGAGUCUUAUGUAGAGUAUUAUGAGAGAGAUCGACUUUAAACGAGUGUAUUACCUGCAUCUGAUAUUCUUCAGGUAAAUCUUAUAUUCAGUUUGAAUGUCCGCUUUGUCUUUGUCCUUUUAACAUUUCAAUGGAUUUCCCAUGAUUUUCCUAUAAUUUUGUGGUUAGGAUUGAUACUUUUGUUACUUUUGCUGUUUGCUGUAUUUUUGCCACUGUUUGCACCAUUAGAGUAUGAAUAAAUACAGAAUGUGUUUACAUUUCAAA